GAUGAAGAAACGCAGCGAAACGCGAUAUGUAAUGUGAAUUGCAGAAUUCAGUGAAUCAUCGAAUCUUUGAACGCACAUUGCGCCCGCGAGUAUUCUCGCGGGCAUGCCUGUCCGAGCGUCAUUUCAACCCUCAGAGCCCGCCUGCUUCGGCAGGCGCGGCGCUGGUGUUGGGGAUCGGCCUAACCGCCGUCCCCCAAAUACAGUGGCGGUCUCGCUGCAGCCUCCCCUGCGUAGUAGCAACACUCGCAUGCGGAGCGCGGCGCGGCCACGCCGUAAAACCCCCGACUUUCUGAACGUUGACCUCGGAUCAGGUAGGAAUACCCGCUGAACUUAAGCAUAUCAAUAAGCGGAGGA
rnacentral:misc_RNA from 1 species